rnacentral:rRNA from 1 species
UACGUAGGUGGCGAGCGUUGUCCGGAAUUACUGGGCGUAAAGGAUGCGUAGGCGGAUGUUUAAGUCAGAUGUGGAAUCCCCGGGCUCAACCCGGGAAUAGCAUUUGAAACUGGAUAUCUAGAGUGCAGGAGAGGAAAGCGGAAUUCCUAGUGUAGCGGUGAAAUGCGUAGAUAUUAGGAAGAACACCAGUGGCGAAGGCGGCUUUCUGGACUGUAACUGACGCUGAGGCAUGAAAGCGUGGGGAGCAAACAGG